UGGUCCCAGCCUUGAGACCAGUUGCUACUUGAUAUACACAUGCAAGUCUCCGCCCCCCUGUGAAAACGCCCUUUAAUCCCUUCAAGAGAUAAGGAGCUGGUAUCAGGCACAAAAAUUAGCCCAAGACACCUAGCUAUGCCACACCCCCACGGGAGCUCAGCAGUGAUUAACAUUGAUUAUAAGCGCUAGCUUGAAUCAGUCAAAGUAGAAAGGGCCGGCUAAUCUGGUGCCAGCCGCCGCGGUUACACCAUGUGGCCCAAACUGACCCCCCUUCGGCGUAAAGCGUGAUUAAAGCACCCUUUUCUACUGCAAUUUAACUAAAACUAAGCUGUGACACGCUUGUUCUUAGGAGACCUAAUAAACGAAAGUCAUUGCACCCUUAAUAACUUGAAUUCACGACAGCUAAGAAACAAACUGGGAUUAGAUACCCCACUAUGCUUAGCCGUAAACUUUAACUUACACCUAUCUCGCCCGGGAACUACGAGCAAAGCUUAAAACCCAAGGGACUUGACGGUACCCCAAAUCCACCUAGAGGAGCCUGUCCUAUAAUCGAUAACCCCCGUUUUACCUCACCACUUUUAGUCUAUCAGCCUGUAUACCUCCGUCGUCAGCUUACCCCGUGAGCGCUAACUAGUGAGCUUAAUGCCCUUACGUCAACACGUCAGGUCAAGGUGCAGCAUAUGAAGUGGAAAGAGAUGGGCUACACUAUCUACUUUAGACCAUACGAAAAACUAUUAUGAAACCUAGUUAGAAGGCGGAUUUAGAAGUAAAAGAAGAUCAGUAUGCUUCCUUUAACUCGGCACUGGGGUGUGUACACACCGCCCGUCACCCUCUUCGAAGCCUUAGUAUAAGUCUUUGACACAACUCAGCCACUCAGAAGAGGCAAGUCGUAACAUGGUAAGUAUACCGGAAGGUGUCCUUGGAAA
rnacentral:ncRNA from 1 species